rnacentral:misc_RNA from 1 species
GAAGAGGUGUAUGAGAUCACCCAUAGAGUAUACUUGGAUAUUGAUAUUGAUGAACAGCGUUUAGGUAGAAUUGUUAUUGGAUUAUAUGGCCAGGUUGUACCAAAAACUGUAGAAAAUUUCAGGGCUUUGUGCACAGGUAAGAAGGGAAAAGGUCGAAGUGGGAAAGCUCUUCACUAUAAGNNNNNNNNNCAUCGUAUAGUAUCUGGGUUUAUGAUUCAAGGUGGUGACAUAGUUUAUGGUGAUGGGAGGG